UACGUAGGGUGCGAGCGUUGUCCGGAAUUAUUGGGCGUAAAGAGCUCGUAGGCGGUUUGUUGCGUCGGCCGUGAAAACCUGCAGCUUAACUGUGGGCCUGCGGUCGAUACGGGCAGACUUGAGUUCAGUAGGGGAGACUGGAAUUCCUGGUGUAGCGGUGAAAUGCGCAGAUAUCAGGAGGAACACCGGUGGCGAAGGCGGGUCUCUGGGCCGAUACUGACGCUGAGGAGCGAAAGCGUGGGGAGCGAACAGG
rnacentral:rRNA from 1 species